rnacentral:rRNA from 1 species
UACGUAGGGUGCAAGCGUUGUCCGGAAUUAUUGGGCGUAAAGAGCUCGUAGGCGGUUUGUCGCGUCUGCCGUGAAAGUCCGGGGCUCAACUCCGGAUCUGCGGUGGGUACGGGCAGACUAGAGUGAUGUAGGGGAGACUGGAAUUCCUGGUGUAGCGGUGAAAUGCGCAGAUAUCAGGAGGAACACCGGUGGCGAAGGCGGGUCUCUGGGCCGAUACUGACGCUGAGGAGCGAAAGCGUGGGGGAGCGAAACAGGAUUAGAAACGACGAGU